GAUGAACGCUGGCGGCGUGCCUAAUACAUGCAAGUCGAGCGAACAGACGAGGAGCUUGCUCCUCUGAUGUUAGCGGCGGACGGGUGAGUAACACGUGGAUAACCUACCUAUAAGACUGGGAUAACUUCGGGAAACCGGAGCUAAUACCGGAUAAUAUUUUGAACCGCAUGGUUCAAUAGUGAAAGACGGUCUUGCUGUCACUUAUAGAUGGAUCCGCGCUGCAUUAGCUAGUUGGUAAGGUAACGGCUUACCAAGGCAACGAUGCAUAGCCGACCUGAGAGGGUGAUCGGCCACACUGGAACUGAGACACGGUCCAGACUCCUACGGGAGGCAGCAGUAGGGAAUCUUCCGCAAUGGGCGAAAGCCUGACGGAGCAACGCCGCGUGAGUGAUGAAGGUCUUCGGAUCGUAAAACUCUGUUAUUAGGGAAGAACAAAUGUGUAAGUAACUGUGCACGUCUUGACGGUACCUAAUCAGAAAGCCACGGCUAACUACGUG
rnacentral:rRNA from 1 species